AUGCUUACCUGGCAGAGGAGACACCUUGGUCAAAGCAGUUUUUCCAGGGUGAGAUUCAUCCAUUGUAUUCUGGGUGCACUGACACCUGCAGUUUCUCCAAAUGUAGGAAACUUGCCUACAUAAUUUGGGGGACUGUGCUUGUGCUUUCCACAU
rnacentral:snRNA from 1 species